rnacentral:rRNA from 1 species
GAUGAACGCUGGCGGCGUGCUUAACACAUGCAAGUCGAACGGAAAGGCCCAAGCUUGCUUGGGUACUCGAGUGGCGAACGGGUGAGUAACACGUGGGUGAUCUGCCCCGUACUUCGGGAUAAGCCUGGGAAACUGGGUCUAAUACCGGAUAGGACAGUGGUUUGGAUGCCAUUGUGGAAAGUUUUUUCGGUGUGGGAUGAGCUCGCGGCCUAUCAGCUUGUUGGUGGGGUAAUGGCCUACCAAGGCGUCGACGGGUAGCCGGCCUGAGAGGGUGUACGGCCACAUUGGGACUGAGAUACGGCCCAGACUCCGACGGGAGGCAGCAGUGGGGAAUAUUGCACAAUGGGCGCAAGCCUGAUGCAGCGACGCCGCGUGGGGGAGGACGGCCUUCGGGUUGUAAACUCCUUUCGCUAGGGACGAAGCGUUAUGUGACGGUACCUAGAGAAGAAGCACCGGCUAACUACGUG